GUGCCAGCCGCCGCGGUAAGACAGGGGUCUCGAGCGUUAAUCGGAAUUACUGGGCUUAAAGGGUGCGUAGGCGGGCCAGCAGUGCUUUGUGAAAUCCCCCGGCUCAACCGGGGAACUGCGGGGCAUACUGCUGGCCUUGAGGAAGGUAGGCGCCGAGGGAACAGUAGGUGGAGCGGUGAAAUGCGUAGAUAUCUACUGGAACGCCGAUGGUGAAGACGCUCGGCUGGGCCUUUCCUGACGCUGAGGCACGAAAGCGUGGGGAGCAAACAGGAUUAGAAACCCUGGUAGUCC
rnacentral:rRNA from 1 species